AUUUAUUUGUUUGUUUGUUUGUUUAUUUUUGUUUGUGUUUGUCCUUGGUUCUUGAAGAGGACUGUGACAUCAGGGAGAGGAUGACAUGACUUGCAAUUGACUUUGAUUUGAGUGAGGGAGGGCUGUGCAAGGUCACCAGCCUUACUUUCUCCUCCAGAGCCAUCUGGGUCCAGUGGCCAAAUGUUCAUCAGGAUGACUGAGAUGACCAGGUCUUUAUUAUCACCUGGCUGGAUUAUUGCAAUAGCCUUCUAACAAGCAAUUGGGGUUAAGUGACUUGCCCAGGGUCACACAGCUAGUAAGUGUCAAGUGUUGGUCUGAGGCCAGAUUUGAACUCAGGUCCUCCUGACUUCAGGGCCUGUGCUCUACUCACUGUGCCACCUACCUGCCCCGACAGAUAAAGAAAUUGAGUCCUGCUCAUUUUACAGAUGAGGAAACUGAGACCAACAGGGAUAAAUGACUUCUCCAGGGCCACACAGCUAGCAAGUUAUCUGAGGCCAGAUUUGAACUCAGGAAGACUCAUCUUCCUGACUCCAGGCCUGGAGCUUUAUCCGCUUUGCAACCUAACUGCCCAGGUAAAAAGAGGAGUAUGA
rnacentral:lncRNA from 1 species